rnacentral:rRNA from 1 species
AUACGUAGGUGGCGAGCGUUGUCCGGAAUUACUGGGUGUAAAGGGCGUGUAGGCGGGAAUGUAAGUCAGAUGUGAAAUACCGAGGCUUAACUUCGGGACUGCAUCUGAAACUAUGUUUCUUGAGUGUCGGAGAGGAAAGUGGAAUUCCCAGUGUAGCGGUGAAAUGCGUAGAUAUUGGGAGGAACACCAGUGGCGAAGGCGACUUUCUGGACGAUAACUGACGCUGAGGCGCGAAAGCGGUGGGGAGC